AGGGAAUCUUCCACAAUGGACGCAAGUCUGAUGGAGCAACGCCGCGUGAGUGAAGAAGGUUUUCGGACCGUAAAGCUCUGUUGUUGGUGAAGAAGGAUAGAGGUAGUAACUGGCCUUUAUUUGACGGUAAUCAACCAGAAAGUCACGGCUAACUACGUGCCAGCAGCCGCGGUAAUACGUAGGUGGCAAGCGUUGUCCGGAUUUAUUGGGCGUAAAGCGAGCGCAGGCGGAAGAAUAAGUCUGAUGUGAAAGCCCUCGGCUUAACCGAGGAAUUGCAUCGGAAACUGUUUUCUUGAGUGCAGAAGAGGAGAGUAGAACUCCAUGUGUAGCGGUGGAAUGCGUAGAUAUAUGGAAGAAUACCAGUGGCGAAGGCGGCUCUCUGGUCUGCAACUGACGCUGAGGCUCGAAAGCAUGGGUAGCGAACAGGAUUAGAUACCCUUGGUAGUCCAUGCCGUAAACGAUGAGUGCUAAGUGUUGGGAGGCUUCCGCCUCUCAGUGCUGCAGCUAACGCAUUAAGCACUCUGCCCUGGGGGAGUACGACCGCAAGGU
rnacentral:rRNA from 1 species